GGAUGAGAACAGCAAUCUCACUAUGACAACCACUACGACAGGAUUGAUUGGGCUGAUCUGGCUGGCUAGGCACAUAUCCCCUUUCCCCAUUCCCGGUGUUUCCCUGCCUUGCUCAAAGAGGACGACCUUCCCCGCUAGAGAUGAACCAUUGCUCGGUCAAGGGUAUACAGUAGCUGCGCUGUGCUUGAGAACCUCCAAAGAAGCUCAGGNN
rnacentral:snRNA from 1 species